rnacentral:rRNA from 1 species
UACGUAGGGUGCGAGCGUUAAUCGGAAUUACUGGGCGUAAAGCGUGCGCAGGCGGUUUUGUAAGUCUGUCGUGAAAUCCCCGGGCUUAACCUGGGAAUUGCGAUGGAGACUGCAAGGCUAGAAUCUGGCAGAGGGGGGUAGAAUUCCACAUGUAGCAGUGAAAUGCGUAGAGAUGUGGAGGAACACCGAUGGCGAAGGCAGCCCCCUGGGUCAAGAUUGACGCUCAUGCACGAAAGCGUGGGGAGCAAACAGG